AAGUCGUAACAAGGUUUCCGUAGGUGAACCUGCGGAAGGAUCAUUAACACGUAUCCAAACGUUAAACCCCCCUGUGAACCUUCACCUGUACUCGUACGUCCGUUAGAAAAAGCAGCAAUCCCUGGUAAAUCAUCGCCGAACAGUUUUCGAUUCAGGGAUGUCUGCAAGGAGCGUGCAUGUUGUGCGAGCAAGUGGCCUGGCAUCCCCAAGCAGUUAGUGUCUGAAAGUGUCAUUAACUGUGUAAGGAUGACGCAGUCACGAUCGUUGGAGGCCCACACGGCCGACGACCGGGUCACUGGGCGCAAGCCCCCCUAUAACAAACGCUGCUAAGCGCGGCCGCGAUAAUACGCAGUCGACCAAAAACCGAACAACUGUUAACAAUGGAUAUCUUGGUUCUC
rnacentral:misc_RNA from 1 species